AAAAAAUUUACAAUAUGAAAGUAGAUUAAAUAUCGGUAAAAAAGGCGACCCUUACUUCAAGGGACGCCCCCAAUGAUCCUUUUGAUCUCUUCCUGCAUGGUUUUUCGAUACUACUAGGAUCAGAGAGUGCUCCAAUGAAGCCCUGCCGCAUCUGGUAGGCAUUUUUCAGGCAAGGCCGUCACCUGCAGGAAGAGACACUACCUCUCCCCUACCGCGUUUAGGUAGCGGGAAGAGAAAAAAAAACAUGAACGCAACCCCUACUUACCAGUAGGUUAGAUCCUCCCCAUCUCCUACCGCUCCUAGGUGGGAGUAUGGCCAUGAACAUUUUCUGACAUUUUUCUUCUUCAGGCAGCUUGGGAUAUCCCCAUGCAUCGCUCUCUACAGAGCCCGUCCAGGGAUAUCCCGGGUCGGAAAAGGGGGUGGUUUUAGUUGGUAGGCGGCUGGCUAUGGGGUGCACGCGGGAUGCACUGAUCACAUGUGGUUGAUGCAUCCUAGCGUGUUCUCCUCUCCUGUCCGAGUCCAACAGUACUAGGGACACCUUCCCUAGUCUGCUAUGAGCGUUCCCCCCAGUCAAAAAAAA
rnacentral:lncRNA from 1 species